CAGUUCAAUUUUUUAUUAGAAAUAUACAGAAAAAAAUUUUUUAUAAUGAUUAUGAUGUAGUUGAUGUAUUUUGGUGCACAUAUUACACUCUUCGGUUAAGUAUCUUGUGAUAACGACAUUUUUUUGGCCUUGUGAUUUGUUAAGGGUUGUGACGAAUUCGAGACGGUUAGAAAAUAAAUUGCUCAGAGAUUUCUUCAGCAGAUGUAUCACUAAGCAAUUGUCAGCUGAAGUUUCUUCAUAUAGCGCUUCAGAUUCGACGAUUUGAGGCAAACGUUUAUUUCUACGGCAGUAUCUCCUCAUUCAUCACAAGAUCGUGAUUUAUGGAACUGACACGAAUUUGUAAUGUAAAUUUUCUAUUGACGUAUUAUCCUUAUAUUUGUGUGACAAGUUAGAUAGGUUCGAUGAAAAGCAAAUAAUGUGCGAAUCUCACUUGGAGAUGCAGAGAUACUGGCUUCAAUGAUUGUUGUAGUUUUUUAGUAAGUUGAGUUCUUCACGAUAUAUUAAUAUACCCUUAACAGUCCGUAGUCUCUCAAGUGACGUUGGCCCACAUCCAUUUACCAGCAACCACCGCUAAUAGAAAAAUGCAUUAUCCUUUGGAUGAACUGUAUAUAUACGACCAAUAGCAUCAAUAGAGCGCACAUCUGUAUAACCAAAAACCGCAUCGCCUUCUUUCCGUCGUUAAAAAUUCGAUGGGGCAUUCCAAAUGUUAUAAUGUGGCGACUCCGAGUAAAGUAAAGUUGGAGCAAACGGAUUUCUUUGGCAGAUCGUAAAGAAACUGGUCAAUGUUAUCGCUGGAGGUUUACCACGUUGAACACCAUUCGAAGCCGUCAAAUAUACUCGUUGACCAUUCUCAAUAUUCAUCGCCAAGUCCACAACAUUCACAUAACAACCACUUGAUAGCGCGCAAUUUCAUAGUACGUUGGAGUAUUGGAUGCCCCAAACCGCCAUAUCGCUGCCUUUCGUGAAAUA